UACGGGGGGAGCAAGCGUUGUUCGGAUUUACUGGGCGUAAAGGGCGCGUAGGCGGCCACCGCAAGUCGGUUGGGAAAUCUCUGGGCUUAACCCAGAAAGGUCAACCGAUACUGCGGGGCUAGAGUGCAGAAGGGGCAACUGGAAUUCUCGGUGUAGCGGUGAAAUGCGUAGAUAUUGGGAAGAACACCAGUGGCGAAAGCGGACUUCUGGGUUGUUACUGACGCUGAGGUGCGAAAGCGUGGGGAGCAAACAGG
rnacentral:rRNA from 1 species